rnacentral:tRNA from 1 species
GCCAGAAUGGCGUAGUGGUUAGAGCGCCAGACUAAGGUCCAGGAGGCUUGGGUUCGAAUCCCCACUCUGCAGUGGCA